UACGAAGGGGGCUAGCGUUGCUCGGAAUUACUGGGCGUAAAGGGCGCGUAGGCGGAUAUUUAAGUUGGGGGUGAAAUCCCGGGGCUCAACCUCGGAAUUGCCUUCAAAACUGGAUAUCUUGAGUUCGGGAGAGGUGAGUGGAACUCCGAGUGUAGAGGUGAAAUUCGUAGAUAUUCGGAAGAACACCCGUGGCGAAGGCGGCUCUCUGGGACGGUACUGACGCUGAGACGCGAAAGCGUGGGGAGCGAACAGG
rnacentral:rRNA from 1 species